rnacentral:rRNA from 1 species
CCCUAGUAUUGAUUUUAAGUUGAUAUUAGUAAAAUUUUGAAAUUAAAAAUUUUUGGCGGUUAAUUUAUUUUUAGAGGAGCUUGUUUUAGAAAAUACUCUUUAUAUUUUAUUAUAUAAAAGUUUAUUUAUCUCCGUUAUAAGAUUAAAAUAUUAAGAAAUUUUAAGGUUUUAUUUCAGGUCAAGAUGUAGCAAUUAUAAGGGUAAGAUUAGCUACAUUUAUGAGAUAGUGGAUUUAAUGAUUUAAAGAAUUUUAUUAUGAAGUUGAAUUUAGUUGUAAUAUGUUUUAGAAAAAGAAUAU